GAGGGACAUAAAGGAAAAGUUUAUUAAUAAUUGUUUGGUGGUCUGUCGUUAUUUCAAAACACUCUUGCUGCUAUUGAGGCGUGAUGUGGGUAAAGUUAGGGGCAGGUGUGGUGAUCUAGUUGGGGGUCAACAGAGUAAUUAUAGAUAUAAUAACAGAAAAAUAACUACAGAUGUGAUUUCAUGCAGGUAUUUUUAAGUAUAAGCGGAAGAUAAAAACAGGAAUGUAUACACCGUACGUGCAUUGUAUCAGACUGUAAAUUAGUGGUUAAAGAUUCCAUGUAAAGUAAUCAGAACAAGCGGACUCCAUUUCCCACAGUGCAGUGCGGUGGGUGGGUGUCAUGUGACGCUUGUGUGCGUGAGAGUCAAGAGCUGCUCGCGAGCGUGUGUGCAGCAGAGUCUGUCGCCUCCACAGCAGGUGUGUGUGUGUGUGUGUGUGUGUGUGUGCGCGCGCGCGGCUUCACUCGAGGACACUCUCAGGAUGUAACGUUGUGUGGAUUAGUCUGUUUGGACGCGCGAGACUGGGGUUCAUAACGCGUGGAAUAAUCUCGCUUUCCAGGACUGACAGAAGACACAGCAGGAACCAGUGCUCGGUGGGUCCACCCUGACUUCGUGUCGCGCUUCCUGAAGAAAGGAAAAGCCCUGAUGUGCUUGUCACCUGAGCUGACGGCCGGGGCUGCGUGAUGGAGGCCGAAUGUCUUCACUUGGUCCCUCUUCAGACACUCAAAGGCCGCUCUGUUUCAGCCUGAUGACGAGCCGAUUGGAUAUAAUCUUGAGCAGCGGACUCAGGAGAUGGGGAGGAAUAGGGAAACUCUACAGUAGGCUUUGCAGGGAAGGAUCGUCUUUCUCCAGAAGUAGGAAACGAGCGUCGGAGGGUUCCUGCUGCCAGUCGGCUCUCUCCUCCUGUUACGACACGGGACCAAAUUCAAACCAUGUGUCCUCGCACCCGGUUAGCUGCUUUUGCCCACCUCUAGCAUUAGCAGUCUGGACGGAUCCAUUUCACUGCCCCUCUCCCGUGUAGCGUUCUCAUUCUCCCAGCCCCAAAUGAGCCUCUCCGUGGGACUCCUGCCUUAAUAGGCUGGAACUUUCCCAUGUCCGGUCUCCAAAGGUGGCUGUUAUCCUCCGAGGGCCCCUGUGCGAGUUUCAAGCUCGGGCUCAUGUUAUGAGCCGGGCGAGGUGGACUCCGGGAUGUCAGAUGUGAUGCUUCACACAGAUUUUCACGGUAGUGUCUGAGCAGACCUGUGGAUGAGUGUGACAGCUGGUUCCUCCACAUCAUGGAUUGGUCAGAGAUAUCUGGAGAUGCUCGUUUCAUAAGUGGAUUUCAGUUGUGUGGACUACAUCACAGCAUCUGCUGUUUCGGUUUCCCGUGCUUUGACUGCAGAGACUCGAUUACUCGGACUGUUUUAUUCUUUACGUCAUGUGUUUUCAGCUGAUUUGUCAGUACACUGUUCCAGUCAUGCUAAAAUAUACAAUACACAUACAGUAGUUAUGAUGUUGAAACUCUUGUUCACUGCACCCGUAGAUGCCCUACUAACUAAAGUUUAUAUGCCAGGGACUAGAUCUUCUAGCGAUCUAAUAAAUAUUGUUUGAAUGUAAAUUGUGCUAAUAUUUCAAUAAUAUAGCAAUGUUUUAUAAAGAAAUAAGGCACUUUGUUGUAAAUGACUACAGUAUAUCACAAUCUAACACAUCCUCUUGUACAGUAUUGCUUCCUUUUAAUAUAUAAAUAUUUUUUUUACAUACACGUGUGUGUAAUUAUGAUAUUAUUUUUUAAAAUUGUUCAGAAUUUUUGCUUAAUAAAAAAUAAAUGGUCGAUUGAAGCAAAGUCUAUCAUGUCAUGAUGUUAAAAAAUCAAAACUGGUGGUGACGUACACAAUAUUAAAAGUAAAGAAAAAAGUUUUUAUAAUCAUUUAUUAUACAUUAAACAUUCCAGUUGGAAAUUCCCUCUUUAC
ensembl:lncRNA